rnacentral:rRNA from 1 species
AUUGAACGCUGGCGGCAUGCCUUACACAUGCAAGUCGAACGGCAGCACGGGUGCUUGCACCUGGUGGCGAGUGGCGAACGGGUGAGUAAUACAUCGGAACGUACCUUAUCGUGGGGGAUAACGCAGCGAAAGCUGUGCUAAUACCGCAUACGCCCUGAGGGGGAAAGCGGGGGAUCGAAAGACCUCGCGCGAUUAGAGCGGCCGAUGCCUGAUUAGCUAGUUGGUGGGGUAAAAGCCCACCAAGGCGACGAUCAGUAGCUGGUCUGAGAGGACGAUCAGCCACACUGGGACUGAGACACGGCCCAGACUCCUACGGGAGGCAGCAGUGGGGAAUUUUGGACAAUGGGGGCAACCCUGAUCCAGCAAUGCCGCGUGAGUGAAGAAGGCCUUCGGGUUGUACAGCUCUUUUGUCAGGGAAGAAACACCGGCUCUAACACAGUCCGGGAAUGACGGUACCUGAAGAAUAAGCACCGGCUAACUACGUGCCAGCAGCCGCGGUAA